UGUUGAUUUAAAAUGGCCCUCACUGUUGUGACCCCUCUCCUUCCCCCCACUCACACGUUUCAGCUUCACUCUUAAAUGUAGGAUAUUUUUGAUGGCUAAAAAAAAAACGAAUUAAAUUUUAAAUGCAGGGCUGAUGCAAUAUUAAUCAGGAUUUUGCUGAUAUAAAAAGGCGAUAUUUUCAGAGGAGCUGUCGGGGUUUCAGGAGGGGGAAGAAGAAGAAGCAGGCGGAUGAAGGAAGCUGCGAGAGAGAGAUGCUCCUCUGCAGCUUGUGGUUACCUGGACAACAGAGUGAGACAUUGUUUCCUUGAUGGCACCUCAUCGAGAUCUCGUGACCUCUCAGUGACCUGGGCAGUGUCUCUACCCACAACGCUAUCACACCUCACUGCACACUGUGCUCUAAUCACGCUCAGGCCCACGAGACCCACUCGCCGAAGCGCCCGCAGGAGCACAUGCAUAAGAUCCAGCCGCUUCCUGACGCCUCUCAUCAAUACCUCAUGUUCUGACAUUGAUCGUUGUGUCCUUGGCGUCCCCGACUUCACUCCGCGCAGGUCACAACGGCGUGAAAUCAGGCCGCCCCUGUUUAUUACUCGGGGGACCCGCGAUCGGCUCCUCAGAAGGCCGACAGCCUUGACAGGUGGAGCCGGAGUCGACUGUGACAAAGCGCUGAUUAGCCUGUCACUCUGAAUGGAGGGAAGCCAAACUGGUCUACCGACCCCCCCCCCCGCGAGCGACGACGGGUACGGCAAGGCUGCGCGCGUCGCCGCGUCGAGACGGAUAAAUGCAGAUGACAAACUGUGUUGGAGUCACAAGUGCCCGUCACGUUGACGCGUUUCAGGAACAUGGCUCUGGUGUCACUCUCAUUAAUUGCGCGCCAGUUUAUUAAUGAAUAGGAUUUAAUUAUAUCUUGUGAAUUAACAAUGAGAAGUAUCCGUCUGUCCUCCAAAUCUCCACCUUGGAAAGUGGUUAGAAGUGACCUGUACAUUAAAGUUCAUGUAAGUUUGUUUUUUUUGGGGGGGGGGGGGCUAAUGUUUGAACAUCUCUUUUGUUAAGAGUGUGCAGGUCAAUUGUUUUGAGCCACAUCUGGCCUCCCAUUGUUAGGGUGCAACAUCUGGCCAUGGGCAAUACUUGAAAAUUAGCAAUAAGGGAUAACCCUGGCUCAUGUCAGCAUUGCCCUAAAAAAAUACACAAAUAAAAUGAAACGACUGAAGAAAUCAGCUGCCAUGUAUCAUGAUUACCGUCACUUUUUUUAUGUUACCUUUUGUCUGC
rnacentral:lncRNA from 1 species